UGGAGUGCUGGCUGAUAUAUGUGCUGCCUCUUCACUAAAGGUGUCAGUCACACCACUACAGCCUCCCGGCUGGCUGGUAAUGGGAGCCACAGGGACUGACUGACUGUAGUGCACCAUGUCUGGCUGCUUUAAUAGCAGGUUGUAUCAGUCACACCACUACAGCCUCCCGGCUGGCUGGUAAUGGGAACCACAGGGACUGACUGGUUUAAUAGCAGGUUGUAUCAGUCACACCACUACAGCCUCCCGGCUGGCUGGUAAUGGGAACCACAGGGACUGACUGGUUUAAUAGCAGGUUGUAUCAGUCACACCACUACAGCCUCCCGGCUGGCUGGUAAUGGGAACCACAGGGACUGACUGGUUUAAUAGCAGGUUGUAUCAGUCACACCACUACAGCCUCCCGGCUGGCUGGUAAUGGGAACCACAGGGACUGACUGACUGUAGUGCACCAUGUCUGGCUGCUUUAAUAGCAGGUUGUAUCAGUCACACCACUACAGCCUCCCGGCUGGCUGGUAAUGGGAGCCACAGGGACUGACUGGUUUAAUAGCAGGUUGUAUCAGUCACACCACUACAGCCUCCCGGCUGGCUGGUAAUGGGAACCACAGGGACUGACUGGUUUAAUAGCAGGUUGUAUCAGUCACACCACUACAGCCUCCCGGCUGGCUGGUAAUGGGAACCACAGGGACUGACUGGUUUAAUAGCAGGUUGUAUCAGUCACACCACUACAGCCUCCCGGCUGGCUGGUAAUGGGAACCACAGGGACUGACUGGUUUAAUAGCAGGUUGUAUCAGUCACACCACUACAGCCUCCCGGCUGGCUGGUAAUGGGAACCACAGGGACUGACUGGUUUAAUAGCAGGUUGUAUCAGUCACACCACUACAGCCUCCCGGCUGGCUGGUAAUGGGAACCACAGGGACUGACUGGUUUAAUAGCAGGUUGUAUCAGUCACACCACUACAGCCUCCCGGCUGGCUGGUAAUGGGAACCACAGGGACUGACUGACUGUAGUGCACCAUGUCUGGCUGCUUUAAUAGCAGGUUGUAUCA